GACGGGGCCCGCACAAGCGGUGGAGCAUGUGGUUUAAUUCGAAGCAACGCGAAGAACCUUACCAGGUCUUGACAUCCCGAUGCUAUUUCUAGAGAUAGAAAGUUACUUCGGUACAUCGGUGACAGGUGGUGCAUGGUUGUCGUCAGCUCGUGUCGUGAGAUGUUGGGUUAAGUCCCGCAACGAGCGCAACCCUUGUCAUUAGUUGCUACAUUCAGUUGGGCACUCUAAUGAGACUGCCGGUGACAAACCGGAGGAAGGUGGGGAUGACGUCAAGUCCUCAUGGCCCUUAUAGGUGGGGCUACACACGUCAUACAAUGGAUGGUACAAAGGGUCGCCAACCCGCGAGGGGGAGCCAAUCCCAUAAAGCCAUUCGUAGUCCGGAUCGCAGUCUGCAACUCGACUGCGUGAAGUCGGAAUCGCUAGUAAUCGUGGAUCAGAAUGUCACGGUGAAUACGUUCCCGGGUCUU
rnacentral:rRNA from 1 species